rnacentral:rRNA from 1 species
GACGAACGCUGGCGGCGUGCUUAACACAUGCAAGUCGAACGGAAAGGCCCUGCUUUUGUGGGGUGCUCGAGUGGCGAACGGGUGAGUAACACGUGAGUAACCUGCCCUUGACUUUGGAUAACUUCAGGAAACUGGGGCUAAUAACGGAUAGGAGCUCCUGCUGCAUGGUGGGGGUUGGAAAGUUUCGGCGGUUGGGGGUGGACUCGCGGCUUAUCAGCUUGUUGGGGGGGUAGUGGCUUACCAAGGCUUUGACGGGUAGCCGGCCUGAGAGGGUGACCGGCCACAUUGGGACUGAGAUACGGCCCAGACUCCUACGGGAGGCAGCAGUGGGGAAUAUUGCACAAUGGGCGGAAGCCUGAUGCAGCAACGCCGCGUGCGGGAUGACGGCCUUCGGGUUGUAAACCGCUUUCGCCUGUGACGAAGCGUGAGUGACGGUAAUGGGUAAAGAAGCACCGGCUAACUACGUG